UGAUCGAUGUGCACUUCUCAUCUCAGGAUCUGUGUAUUGCUGACCUGUAACUGAGUUCUUCAGCUUGGCUGUUCUCUACAAUUCUUUAUAAUUUCUGAGCAAAAGCUGCUGUGUACAAGGCAGGAGGGACUUCCGCCCUGCUAAAAACCUCUUCUAUGCCUCAACGUUCUGGGCCUUUGCUGCUGCCUCUAGUGACCACUCACACGUUGCCUCCUGUUCCUGGAUGCCAGAAACCCAGCCCCGGUAUCUGCUGGAAGUGCUGUUGUGUGAGAAAAUGGGCAAAAAUUGUCUGUUUAUCCCCGGGUUCAUUUCAUUUUCCGGGCCUCAAAGCCUUUUGGUGAGUAAGGAAGGAAAGGCAGUGUGAAGCCUUGUAGAAUGGGGCAACUUAGGCUUACUUUGAGGUUUUCAGACUUGUGAUGUCAGCAUAAAGUAGAGAAGUUUUUUUUUGAAAUAAUGAAAAAAUGGAUUUCGUUGAUUAAAUAACAUGACAAGUAUCUGUGUCUUGAACUAGCAUCAAGCAAAUGUGAACAGUGGUCCCUAAGGCCUAUGUCAAACUCCCGUUGAGAAACUUACGCUGCUUGUGUGGGCUCCUUCUGUUGUCAGUUUAUUCUUCUCAGUCUAAAGAGAAUCCACGCUGUCUUUGCAAUGGGAUCAGGAGCUGUGGGGAGUCCCUGGCUUCCCUUCCUGGUGUGGGAACAUGGGUGAGGAGCUGAAGC